UGGGGAAUAUUGGACAAUGGGCGCAAGCCUGAUCCAGCCAUGCCGCGUGAGUGAUGAAGGCCUUAGGGUUGUAAAGCUCUUUUGUCCGGGACGAUAAUGACGGUACCGGAAGAAUAAGCCCCGGCUAACUUCGUGCCAGCAGCCGCGGUAAUACGAAGGGGGCUAGCGUUGCUCGGAAUCACUGGGCGUAAAGGGCGCGUAGGCGGCCGAUUAAGUCGGGGGUGAAAGCCUGUGGCUCAACCACAGAAUUGCCUUCGAUACUGGUUGGCUUGAGACCGGAAGAGGACAGCGGAACUGCGAGUGUAGAGGUGAAAUUCGUAGAUAUUCGCAAGAACACCAGUGGCGAAGGCGGCUGUCUGGUCCGGUUCUGACGCUGAGGCGCGAAAGCGUGGGGAGCAAACA
rnacentral:rRNA from 1 species